AUGAGUGAAAUAUCGUGGGCAUUGGUCAAAAUAUGUGAAACGGACGAGUACGAUGCGAUACCCAACAGUUGGCUCGAACCCGAUGCUAAAAAAUGCAUAUACCCCGAUCCAGAUUGCCACUCUAAAAAAGAGCUCGAAAGUCUUGCUAAAGGGGGGGCAAGACCGAUGGAUUUAAAAGGGUGGCUGCACUAUAAUGUCGAAGUCAUCGUACCCAGCUACUCCGACUUUAAGAAAGCUGUUGAAGAUAUGAUACGAAAGACAAAGGACAGAAAACUUGCUGAUGAAAGCGCCAGUGAAAGAUCGACUAAAAAAAGGAAAAGGAAAACUCCCCUCGCAUUUGGAGAAAUGCCCACCAAGAUGGCCUUCACGACGAACAAUCAGUCCGAACAAGAACACAAAAACUCCACAAACGCAAGUGCGCCUGGCAAGCAGCCGGAAAAAGGCAAGCCUAAGCAAACAAGAGAUGAACAGGAAGAACCUGUCAUCAAAAUGGCCUCUACGAUUAAUAAUCAGUCCAAACAAAAGCCGACCAAAACAUACACAGUUGGAGCCACUUCCCAGUCGAGAAGUGAUAUUAAAAUGGACACAUUCACAAAGUUACAGGCCUCUCCAAGUUCUUCUUCCACAGGUGGGCACAAUAACUCCACGAACGCAAGUGUUUCUGGCAAGCAGUCGGAAAAAAGCACGCCUAAGCAAACAAGAGAUAAACUGAAAGAACCUGUUAUCAAGAACCCGAAAGAAGCAUUGCGCCAGCAAGUGUCUAGCAAGCCGCAGGAAAAAAGCAAGCCUAAGCCAACAACGGACAAACAGGAAGAACAUAUUAUCAAGAUCCCGAAAGGAGUAUUGCCCAAUCUAACGGGAGCCAAAGAGGAUGAAUCUGCUAUCACCCUCCUGAAGCAACUUUCACGUAAGUUCCACACUUAAGCCGCAGGGUUGCCACAGACAGAAAAUACUGGGAAAACCUGGGAAU
rnacentral:lncRNA from 1 species